UAGACAGCUUUUUAUGACUCUAAGUAGUGGAGUUGACAUUUUUUUUCAGUACAACGAUUCAAACACACAAAAGGAAUCCCCAUGAUGCUGAGUAAAAAAUACUUUGUGUUUUCUUUUUCUGCUUUUUUUCAACUUAACCCUGAGAUCAUGAAAAAGAGUGGAAAGAAAAGAAUAAUAAUGAGAAUCUGACUUAGUAAAAGCAAAGUUCUUUCUCUGUUAGUAUCACAAAAACAGAGAAGUCCCCAGGCCUUUCAUGUGUAUUCUGGAAGGAACGCCCGCUUCCAAAAAUGCCAAACACUACAAUGGAUGUGGAAUAAAUGAGCAACAAAUAUUGAAUUAAUAAAUAAACAUCGCACUUUCUGAUGAGGCUGGAGGCUCUCACUUGAUAGCAGAGGAUAAAGAGAAGAAGAAAAGCAGGAACUACUUUCGGCUGGUAAGCAGAUCUUACAGUACAGUAGUUAAGCAUAUAAUGUUUGGAGCCUGACUGAUAUAGGCACAAAUCUCAAGUCCACAACUAUGUGAACGUUGGUAAGUUGCUAAACAUUGUUAAGCCAU